CGCGUGGGUAACCUGCCUUGCACUGGGGGAUAACACUUAGAAAUAGGUGCUAAUACCGCAUAAGCGCACGGAGCUGCAUGGCUCAGUGUGAAAAACUCCGGUGGUGCAAGAUGGACCCGCGUCUGAUUAGCUGGUUGGCGGGGUAACGGCCCACCAAGGCGACGAUCAGUAGCCGGCCUGAGAGGGUGGACGGCCACAUUGGGACUGAGACACGGCCCAAACUCCUACGGGAGGCAGCAGUGGGGAAUAUUGGACAAUGGGGGGAACCCUGAUCCAGCGACGCCGCGUGAGUGAAGAAGUAUUUCGGUAUGUAAAGCUCUAUCAGCAGGGAAGAAAGAAAUGACGGUACCUGACCAAGAAGCCCCGGCUAACUACGUG
rnacentral:rRNA from 1 species